rnacentral:rRNA from 1 species
CAGUCGCCACGGGAAUACAGAGGGUGCGAGCGUUAAUCGGAUUUACUGGGCGUAAAGCGUGCGUAGGCGGCUAAUUGAGUCGGAUGUGAAAUCCCCGAGCUUAACUUGGGAAUUGCAUUCGAUACUGGUUAGCUAGAGUGUGGGAGAGGAUGGUAGAAUUCCAGGUGUAGCGGUGAAAUGCGAAGAGAUCUGGAGGAAUACCGAUGGCGAAGGCAGCCAUCUGGCCUAACACUGACGCUGAGGUACGAAAGCAUGGGGAGCAAACAGGAUUAGAUACCCCUGUAGUCCCUGUCUCUUAUAC